CUUUGCUGGCGACCGGCGCACGGGUGAGUAACACGUAUCCAACCUGCCGAUGACUCGGGGAUAGCCUUUCGAAAGAAAGAUUAAUACCCGAUGGCAUAGUUCUUCCGCAUGGUGGAACUAUUAAAGAAUUUCGGUCAUCGAUGGGGAUGCGUUCCAUUAGGUUGUUGGCGGGGUAACGGCCCACCAAGCCUUCGAUGGAUAGGGGUUCUGAGAGGAAGGUCCCCCACAUUGGAACUGAGACACGGUCCAAACUCCUACGGGAGGCAGCAUG
rnacentral:rRNA from 1 species